AUUCAGCUGACGUGUCCCAACUGAGACGAAACUCGCGUCAAACUGGAU
rnacentral:hammerhead_ribozyme from 1 species